GGGAAGCGAAACCGCGAGGUGGGAGCAGAACCCAAAAAAAGUAAGUCCCAGUUCGGAUUGAAGGCUGAAAUUCGCCUUCAUGAAGCCGGAAUUGCUAGUAAUGGCAGGUCAGCAUACUGCCGUGAAUACGUUCCCGGGCCUUGUACACACCGCCCGUCACACCAUGAGAGUUGGGAAUACCCGAAGCCUGUGAGCUAACUUUUAGAGGCAGCAGUCGAAGGUAGAAUCAAUGAUUGGGGUGAAGUCGUAACAAGGUAGC
rnacentral:rRNA from 1 species